rnacentral:rRNA from 1 species
AUUGAACGCUGGCGGCAUGCUUUACACAUGCAAGUCGAACGGCAGCGCGGGCUUCGGCCUGGCGGCGAGUGGCGAACGGGUGAGUAAUACAUCGGAACGUGCCCAGUAGUGGGGGAUAGCUCGGCGAAAGCCGGAUUAAUACCGCAUACGACCUGAGGGUGAAAGCGGGGGAUCUUCGGACCUCGCGCUAUUGGAGCGGCCGAUGGCAGAUUAGCUAGUUGGUGGGGUAAAGGCCUACCAAGGCGACGAUCUGUAGCUGGUCUGAGAGGACGACCAGCCACACUGGGACUGAGACACGGCCCAGACUCCUACGGGAGGCAGCAGUGGGGAAUUUUGGACAAUGGGCGAAAGCCUGAUCCAGCAAUGCCGCGUGUGUGAUGAAGGCCUUCGGGUUGUAAAGCACUUUUGGCGGGAACGAAAAGGACUGUGCCAAUACCACGGUUCGAUGACGGUACCCGCAGAAGAAGCACCGGCUAACUACGU